AUUGAACGCUGGCGGCAUGCUUUACACAUGCAAGUCGGACGGCAGCGCGGGCUUCGGCCUGGCGGCGAGUGGCGAACGGGUGAGUAAUGCAUCGGAACGUGCCCAGUAGUGGGGGAUAGCCCGGCGAAAGCCGGAUUAAUACCGCAUACGACCUGAGGGUGAAAGCGGGGGACCGAAAGGCCUCGCGCUAUUGGAGCGGCCGAUGUCGGAUUAGCUAGUUGGUGGGGUAAAGGCUUACCAAGGCGACGAUCCGUAGCUGGUCUGAGAGGACGACCAGCCACACUGGGACUGAGACACGGCCCAGACUCCUACGGGAGGCAGCAGUGGGGAAUUUUGGGCAAUGGGGGCAACCCUGAUCCAGCCAUGCCGCGUGCGGGAAGAAGGCCUUCGGGUUGUAAACCGCUUUUGUUCGGGAAGAAAUCCUCUGGGCUAAUACCCCGGGGGGAUGACGGUACCGGAAGAAUAAGCACCGGCUAACUACGUG
rnacentral:rRNA from 1 species